GCUGGGAUGGCCGAGUCGUUAAGGCGAGUGAUUUGAAUCAGAUGCGAUUGAAUUCAUUAUCACUUGGUGUUUCACCGCGUAGGUUCAAAUCCUGCUCCCAGCG